rnacentral:rRNA from 1 species
CCUACGGGAGGCAGCAGUGAGGAAUAUUGGACAAUGGGCGCGAGCCUGAACCAGCGAAGUCGCGUGAGGGAAGACGGUCCUAUGGAUUGUAAACCUCUUUUGUCGGGGAGCAAAAGACGCCACGAGUGGCGUUCCGAGAGUACCCGAAGAAAAAGGAUCGGCCAACUGCGUGACAGCAGACGCGGUAAUAAGGAGGAGGCGUGCUUUAUCCGGAUUGAUUGGGUUAAGGGGGUGCUGAGGCGGAAGGUCAAGUGAGCGGUAAAAUUGAGGGGUUCAACCUCUUCGAGCAGUUGAAACUGGUUUUCUUGAGUGAGUGAGAAGUAUGCGGAAUGCGUGGUGUAGCGGUGAAAUGCAUAGAUAUCACGCAGAACUCCGAUUGCGAAGGCAGCAUACCGGCGCUCAACUGACGCUGAUGCACGAAAGUGUGGGUAUCGAACAGGAUUAGAUACCCUAGUAGUC